CGCUGGCGGCGUGCCUAAUACAUGCAAGUCGAACGAACGGAGGAAGAGCUUGCUCUUCCAAAGUUAGUGGCGGACGGGUGAGUAACACGUGGGCAACCUGCCUGUAAGUUGGGGAUAACUCCGGGAAACCGGGGCUAAUACCGAAUGAUAAAGUGUGGCGCAUGCCACGCUUUUGAAAGAUGGUUUCGGCUAUCGCUUACAGAUGGGCCCGCGGUGCAUUAGCUAGUUGGUAGGGUAAUGGCCUACCAAGGCAACGAUGCAUAGCCGACCUGAGAGGGUGAUCGGCCACACUGGGACUGAGACACGGCCCAGACUCCUACGGGAGGCAGCAGUAGGGAAUCUUCCGCAAUGGACGAAAGUCUGACGGAGCAACGCCGCGUGUAUGAAGAAGGUUUUCGGAUCGUAAAGUACUGUUGUUAGAGAAGAACAAGGAUAAGAGUAACUGCUUGUCCCUUGACGGUAUCUAACC
rnacentral:rRNA from 1 species